rnacentral:rRNA from 1 species
UUGUUGGAGAGUUUGAUCCUGGCUCAGGACGAACGCUGGCGGCGUGCUUAACACAUGCAAGUCGAACGAUGAAGCCUUUCGGGGUGGAUUAGUGGCGAACGGGUGA